rnacentral:scRNA from 1 species
CGCCCAGGCCGCCCCCGAAGCUCCCAAGUGAACCCACCGUAUUUUCCUUAUAUGAUCGGGCUCCCGGGCGGGGGAGGGUUCGGCGCUGGGAGCCUGAAAUGAUUAUGGUACAAGGACCGCAGGGGAUGGGAGGCUUGGGG